rnacentral:lncRNA from 1 species
GUGAAGUAAAUUGCGGUAUUUCAUAAGUUUUAUAGUUGAUGUUCAAAAUAUUAAAAUAUGUCUUUGUCCCGAUUUUGAAAGUGAAACAUUUUUACAUUUAUUGAAUUGUUAAAUGAUGUUUGUGUGUUUCAGAGUUUUUUGUGUGUGUGUCUAAUGCAUAUACUGUAUUGCAUAAUGUCUUUUGAGAGUUAUAAUAAGGGCUUGGGGCUUUCCUUACUAGAAGAGAGCUCCCUGAGUACAUGAUCUUUCUUGUUCACCCUUAUAUGUUCAAGCCUGGAAUAUAGCUCAUGCUCAACAAAUGAAAGACCAAAUUUUCUUUUAUCAGGCCCUUCAACUGAACAAAACAAUGACUGAAACAAACACAAUGGAAUUAAUAUUCUCUUCACAGCUAAACAGAUCUUUUAUUCUCUCUCCCAGGCCUGAGGCCUCAUGCCUGCUGCUUUAGAAGAGAUUUAGCAAUAGCCUUGUCUACCUCAAACUGAUUGAAACCACCAACCCCUUCAUUUGGCCUGCACAGGUGUCCAGUUGGUGAGCCCUUACUCUCAGAUGGCCAAAAACUCCACCCUCAGCUCAGGCCACCCCAUCUCUUCAUCCCACAAAUAUCC